UGAUGAUCUGCGAACAGCUCAUUAAAUCAGCUAUAAUCUCUUCGAUCUCGUAUCCUAAACGGAUAUCUGCGAUAAAUUUGGAGCUAAUACGUGCCACGAAGCGUCAACCAAGCAAUUGGAAGAUGCGCACUUAUUAGAUCAAGACCAAUCGGGUUUUCCCGAAGUGGUGACUCUGAAUAAUUUCGCUGAUCGCAUGGUCUUGUACCGGCGACGUAUCGUUCGAGUGUCUGCCCUAUCAACUGUUGAUGGGAGUCUAUGUGACUGCCAUGGUUGUAACGGGUAACGGAGGAUAAGGGUUCGACUCCGGAGAGGGAGCCUUAGAAACGGCUACCACAUCCAAGGAAGGCAGCAGGCGUGCAAAUUACCCACUCUCAAUGCGAGGAGGUAGUGACUAUCAAUAACGAGACAGAUCUCUCUGAGGCCUGUCAUCGGAAUGAGAACAAUCCAAAACCUUUAACGAGGAUCUAUGAGAGGGCAAGUCUGGUGCCAGCAGCCGCGGUAAUUCCAGCUCUCAAGGCGUAUAUCGUCAUUGCUGCGGUUAAAAAGCUCGUAGUUGGAUCUGAGUCUUCAGACGCGGUGCACCGUUUGGUGUUUACUGUGUUCUGUGACUGUUACGAUGGUUUUCUGACGUGCUUCGGUGCGUCAGUGGCUGUCGUGAUUACCUUGAAUAAAUCAAAGUGCUCAAGACAGGCGUUUAGCUUGUAUGUUCGUGCAUGGAAUAAUGGAAUAUGACUGCGGUUCAUUCUGUUGGUCUUGGAACCGAAGUAAUGGUUAAGAGGGACAGACGGGGGCAUCCGUAUCGCUGCGUGAGANGUGAAAUCU
rnacentral:rRNA from 1 species